ACACACACGCAUGCACGCUCACUCACACUCGCUCUGCUCUGCCUGCCCGCCCGACACAGACGCUCUACUUACAGCGUCGGAGGCAGGACUGAGGCUCACACUAUCAGCUCAGCUUCUCAAUGGGGGGACGUGGCCAAAAGCAGACAGAGCGGUCAUUCCACCGGAGCCUUCCGCCGAGUUUGUGAGAGAGAGAGGGAGAGGGGGGGCAACGACGAGCGAGGGCAGGCGGUGGAUGGGGGCAAAUUAGGAUCCCCUUUCAUCUCAGCAGAGGAGUUUCGAAAGACUCUGAAAGAGAGAAGAGCAGCACCUGUGUGGCCGAUAGAGCCGUGACUCUCUCACACACCUUGGUCAGUUUGUGACACCUAUUGUCCUCCCACCUGGGUGGCGUUUUUUGGGGACUCGUGUUGUUUUUUUGUGUUUUUUUUUUGUUGUUUUUUUCGAAAAAAGAAAAAUCUCAGCAGCAGAAGUCCAGAGUGAUUUUUUUUUUUGUUCCUUUUUGUGGGGCUUACCUGCAGGUGGAAUUCAUGAAGAGACGAUGGAAUUAAGAUGGACAGGCUGUGAUUCUGACUAAGCUCUUUUUCUCUAUCUGAACACGCCGCUCAGACUCGGCCUUACCAUGUCCUGGUUGUUGGCCAUGUGGAUUAGCCUCGGCUUCCUGCUGCUGUGCCAGGCCACACUCUACCAGACCAUCCAGCAGCACCAUGUGGCCCGACCCGGUCGCACCGACAUCCUCACUCUGGGUUCGUAAACGAGCUCUUCUUUUUUCUUCUUUUAUUUCUUUGUCUUACUAACUUCACAGCUCGGUGUCAACGACAUGCAGGAUGUUGCCCUCGCUAGGUUAGCUCCUCUCGGCUCUGGCUGUUUGAAAGACGAGAACAAGGCCCGCUGCAGUGUGUCAGAGUGACUCGCCGUGUCAGCGCGACGAAAUGAUUCAUGGCGCUUGAAGCUCUAGCGAAUAAGCAGAGGUUGGGGACUGCUAAUUGUGCCUUCGGUUCCAAUGUUACGUGACUUUUGCAGUUGGGAGAAAACACAGUUAGCAAGGUUGGGUUCGUUCGCCGAGCCGUCUGCCACCGUUUGGAUCUUAACAUGCGAGCGCUGCUAGAACAUCUUCUCAGAUUGGGAAUCGGGGGGGAGGAUGACUCACUUAUGUGGCGAGGAAUCCUCGACUAGUGCACCCUGAAUCUCACUGGCAGACUAAUAGGAGCAGCUAAAGCUAUGGGCAAGAAUCCAUAUUACCACGCUGGUAGCUGGGGGAGCUUUGAUCACUAUGGCUUAGACUGAAAUGACAAUUAUGUUUUCCUCCUUUUGCACUGGAAAUGCUCGGCAAUUAAGCCUGACGCCUUCUGCACCGCGAGGGCUAAAGGGGAGGGUAGAAAUGGAGGCGGAUCUAAUUCUCUGAUUAUGGAAAAGCUUACUAGAAUUGCAUAUGGUAUAUGUGGGAGUGCUACAAGGAAGGCAAAGGUUUUUUUUUUUUUUUUUUUUUUUUAGAGCAAAGCAAAUGCUUUCCUUAAGCUCCUAACAAUGAGUGUUACUUCCACGCUUGAACCCUCAUGCAGAGUGGGGCUUCCUUUCCAUGCCAAGCUGCUGUUAAACAUUGAUGCCGUCUCCUGCUUAGUUCCCUCUUUCUGUGUCUUACACUGCCAAGUAAAAAAAUAAAAAAAUAAAAGAAGCGGUAAUUGAAGCAGAGCAAUAGGAAGAAGGAAAAAAAAAACACUGCUCUGAAUUCUCUAUGCUUGUGAACAUUGGUGACUUUAAGCAGCCUGUCAGAGAAUUGGCUUACUUUUGCUGCGGAACAGCUGACACAUGAAAAUCCUCGCUCUGAUAGAUAAAAAAAAAAAAAAAAAAGUUCUCAAAGUAUUCCUGCCCCCAUUAAUUGAAGCGAAAAAAAAAGAAAAAAAGAAGGGGGGAUAGGGAUGAGCAGCACAGAGUUUUGAAUAAAUUUUUAAAGGGUGACUUCCAUUUUAUUUUUUAUAUUUUCUUCUUUUUUGUCCGGCUGGCAAGUCAAGCUUGGUGCCAAAGAUCUACAAGGAAGUGCAAGGCUCAGUAAGUGUUGUUUUUGAAUAAUGCAGUUGACCCAAAGGGGAGGAGGACAAGAAAAAAAAAAAAAAAAAAAGGAAGAACAAACUUGCUCCCCCCUCCAUCUCCUUUCCACCUCUUGUGGUUUUACGCCUAGAAAAGUCAUGCAAGUAAAAGACACCUGGGGCCGACAGUUCAGGAAGGUUUACUGUCAGACAGAUCAACUCACGCACUCGACGUCCAUUGCACUCCUGGGCAAAGACGUAUACACGCUCGCACACUUACAUGCUCUCUUCUCGCUGAGGCCAUUACGGGGUGGCAUUUUCACGGGUCCUCUGAGGAUUCGCGAGCCGUUAUUGAUGACCUAAUGGGUUCACGUGAUGAGCUCUCCUGGUGCGGUUGGGCAUCAAGUAGAGAUGCGCCGAGCAGAAUUUUGGGGAUGAUUUCUUUUUCAGAUGAGAGGAUACAACAAGAGCGUUCAGCAGCGACUUCCUGCUCUUCCUGCCAUUAGCGGUCAUUUAAUAUUUAUAUUAUUAUUUGACGAGGUGCCGCCUGUCCUGUCAUGUGUGUAAGAGGCGAAUCGCUUCAGCUGAGGAUUUUACUGCUUCACAACAAAUACAAAAUAAACACAGAGUUGGACUCUGAA